UGAGUGAUGCAUUCUCGUAGCCACCACUGGCAAACUCAGUUUUGUCCACAAAUGUUUGUGAACUGGCCUGAUGUCUAUGCUUGGACUACGGUCAUGACAUCAUUCAGGGAGUGGUGGCACCUGUAUUUAAACUUUUUCUAGGACUUGCCUGAAACUUUCACUCAGCUUAUUUUUUGUGAUGACAAGAUCAGGGACCGUGGAAAGCAGAGGACAAAGACGUGUAAUAAUGACAGGAAACUUGAAGAUGCGGCAAGAUUCCUGAGAACCUACCCUCCAAGAUUGCCCAAAGGGAGGAAGUGCUCAAGGCUUUAGAAGUGGCAAAGAUGAAUUUUGUCUGGGAGAAUCAAUGAAGGCUUCCCGGAGGAGGGAGCAUUUGGUCUGGCUCAUCCAGGACUCUAAGCAGCAUGAACACGGACACAGAGUUGCGUGGGAAAGUAGAGACGUGCGUGGAGAAAUGCACAAAAGUGCAGCUUUGUUUGUGGAACUAUAUGAAGGGAAGAAGUAGAAAACAGGCAAGAGCCAUUCAAGAACCAGUCAAGGGGCCCUGCUGAGAGGAAGAACACAGAUUGACGCCUCCUACACUCUGUGGCCAAAGCUCCCUGUAGCCAGCAGACACGGGUGUCUGUCCCGGCAACGCUGCCCCUGUUCGAAAUGACCAACAAGGAACAGUCACAGGAGCCAGAAAGAAACCUUCGUCGUGUUCACUGAAAAUUCUUCAGUUGAUGGGUAGCAGCAGCUAGCAUUAACCUGAGUAUUAGAACUGUCCAGUCACAACGGAUCCUUGAGGGAACCACAAUCGAGGGCAGUUAGUUCAUCUCUGAGACCAUCUCCUUCUUUCCACUUGCCUGGAGGCAGUGGUCCUUCUUUCCUGCGCUGUCUCAAGAGCAUCACCCACUCCAUCCCUUCCCUUCCCUCCCUGUUUCCUCUCUUUUCCCACAGCCCUAGUCUGAACCAUGCUUUGAGAGCUGAGAAGCUCCCUCGCAAGCUGGCAACACUCACUCAGGUCUCAGGCUGUGCACAAUCUUUGUAUCUAUUUUGGAAUGGGCUAGAGCAGUGAGAGCAGGGAAAUUCAUAGGAAACACACACAGGAGCGCUCCAAGGUAAACCCUUCAACCUGCCCGGGGCCCCCGCUGCGGGUGCUGCAUAACCGAUUCUUCUCCGGUCCCUCCAAGCAGGACACAGGCCCAGUGGGGAGUGCCUUGGCCUGGUUAUAAUAUCCAGCUUUUAUUACUGCUCUUUCUAUAUCUUAUCAGUGGGGUAAAGGGCAAGGGCCUUAGGCAUGUGUCCAAGGACAUGCACCACGCUCACAGCAACUCGCUGGCCCAAUUCAGGCAAGUUGUGCUCUGAGAGGUCUAAUUUCGCAAAAGGCAGGUUAGGCUGUCUUGCAGAU